rnacentral:misc_RNA from 1 species
GAUGAAGAACGUAGCAAAAUGCGAUAAGUAAUGCGAAUUGCAGAAUUUCCGUGAAUCAUCGAAUCUUUGAACGCACAUUGCGCCCGCCAGUAUUCUGGCGGGCAUGCCUGUUCGAGCGUCAUUUCAACCAUCAAGCCCCAGGCUUGUGUUGGGGACCUGCGGCUGCCGCAGGCCCUGAAAACCAGUGGCGGGCUCGCUGUCACACCGGGCGUAGUAGAUUUUAUCUCGCUCAGGGCGUGCUGCGGGUUCCGGCCGUUAAAAAGCCUUUUUUACCCAAGGUUGACCUCGGAUCAGGUAGGAAGACCCGCUGAACUUAAGCAUAUCAAUAAGCGGAGGA